UUCAUAGUAUUGCACUUCAUUCUUUAUUUAGAUCUGAUCUCACCUCUUUGUUAGUGGAAGUCUGAAUGCGUGAAAAGUUAGGGUUAGUAUAAAUAAAUACUUUUUAGCAACAGAUUUUGGGUCCAACUGGGAAGUAGCCAAAGGGAGCACACCAAGAGGUGAGGGGAAACAGCAGCAUGCAUGGUCCCUGCUCUCCUUUUGUAAUCAGCCUCCACACAGAUACCAAACCAGCACAGCUGGGAGCUCAUGUGAACAGUCCCAGGAGGUCUCAUUACCUCAAUCAGAAGAGAGUGAACUAGCAGAGUGCUCUCCACUGUGGUGCCAGAAUGGAUUGCAAGCCAAUUACCAGCCUGUGCUGUCAGAUAGGAGAGAUGCAGAGACAGAAAACAAGCUUCCUGACUCUGAUGAUUGUCUGCAUUUUCAACAAUUCCCUUCCUAUCCAUUGCAUCUACAAUUAAAUGCCUAAAGUUAAACGAGCAGAGGGGAACCCCCAAGGUCACCUAGUUGGAUUACCCCACUUGAGUUGCAUGCAGCCACCAAUUCACACACAUCAAUCAUGCAAUACAUGUUGGUGUGCCAAACCCACAGAGCAAGUUCACAAUAAAAUCUGGAAAUAUUACCUUUAAAUCAAUUGCUCAAGCAAGAUAAAUAAGUUAUUCAUGCAAGAUGAGAAGGCAACAACUAACAAAUCCACAAUGGAUCACUAGCCAACCUCACCUCUGGGAAAUGUAUUUCUAGGAUUAGAUUGGCUAGUCUAUGUCUCUGGGAAAUGUAUUUCCCAGAGACACAGGCUAGCCUAUUUAAUCCUAGAUACAAAGAAAAUUAAUCAGCUAGAACUUCCAGAAGAACACUAGUAAGUAGAGCAAAGCGAAGAACACACACAGCACAGUUAAUAGGAGGCAGUCUGCAUCUAAUUUGUCAACAUUGUCCUCUCUGUAUUUUUUAAGAGACAUCUGUUCUGAAACAAUUAGCAGGUGAAUUAUCUCAAUGUCAUGAAAGACCAACAUGUUGAUUGCUCAAGGCACAAAGCAUUAUUUUCAUGAUGACCAGAAUGCUCACAAUGGGCAGCCCAAAAGAAAUAAUAUCAAGAAAUAUAUAUAAAGCUGCUCCGAGUCCCUUUGGGGAGAGAGGGC
rnacentral:lncRNA from 11 species